AUUGAACGCUGGCGGCAUGCCUUACACAUGCAAGUCGAACGGUAACAGGUCUUCGGAUGCUGACGAGUGGCGAACGGGUGAGUAAUACAUCGGAACGUGCCCGAUCGUGGGGGAUAACGAAGCGAAAGCUUUGCUAAUACCGCAUACGAUCUACGGAUGAAAGCAGGGGACCGCAAGGCCUUGCGCGAACGGAGCGGCCGAUGGCAGAUUAGGUAGUUGGUGGGAUAAAAGCUUACCAAACCGACGAUCUGUAGCUGGUCUGAGAGGACGACCAGCCACACUGGGACUGAGACACGGCCCAGACUCCUACGGGAGGCAGCAGUGGGGAAUUUUGGACAAUGGGCGAAAGCCUGAUCCAGUCAUGCCGCGUGCAGGAUGAAGGCCUUCGGGUUGUAAACUGCUUUUGAACGGAACGAAAAGACUCUGGUUAAUACCUGGGGUCCAUGACGGUACCGUAAGAAUAAGCACCGGCUAACUACGUG
rnacentral:rRNA from 1 species